rnacentral:rRNA from 1 species
CAGCAGCCGCGGUAACACAGAGGGUGCGAGCGUUAAUCGGAUUUACUGGGCGUAAAGCGUGCGUAGGCGGCUUUUUAAGUCGGAUGUGAAAUCCCUGAGCUUAACUUAGGAAUUGCAUUCGAUACUGGGAAGCUAGAGUAUGGGAGAGGAUGGUAGAAUUCCAGGUGUAGCGGUGAAAUGCGUAGAGAUCUGGAGGAAUACCGAUGGCGAAGGCAGCCAUCUGGCCUAAUACUGACGCUGAGGUACGAAAGCAUGGGGAGCAAACAGGAUUAGAUACCCGAGUAGUCCCUGUCUCUUAUAU